UGUUUGCUGAAGAAGUAUAAUCUCCCACUAGGUUUUCUAUGUGCUACCUCUUUAGCAAUCAACCUAUCAGGAACAUUU
rnacentral:snoRNA from 1 species